CCAGGAUUUGAAGUUUAUUUCCAAAAGGAGUUUGUAAAAGAAGUCCUUGAGACUAUUAAUCACAGGUGCUUUAAUAAUUCAAAAAGUGUACAUGUAAACACACAUGCACAUUGGCAGUGCAUUCCAUUGUGAGUUGCAGUAAGUAAUGAACAAAAUAAAUACAGCCUUUGUAAGCAGAGCAUAAAAACGGAUACACGUUUCCUUUGGUUUGGUGGGCAGGAGGAUAUAAAAUACCCUCCCCUUACUUAUUACUCACCUAAUAAUGAGACUGACUUUCUGCAGAGUGACAGUGCUCUGGUUCUUAACCUGGAAAAAUUCUAUUAUAAUCAUUUUAUGUAUAAAAACACUUUCAACACAUAAGAAUUCCUACCAUUAGGAAAUAAAAUUUUACAAAGGCAAAUCAUUUCUUUUUAAGUUCUA
rnacentral:lncRNA from 1 species